AUGACUUUGAUCUGCGUCCUCAUCUGGACUCUCCUCUGCUGCUGCUUCACAGAGUCCAGAGGACAGAUCACAGUGACUCAGCCUGGAGCAGUGAGCUCUGCUGUGGGAGGAUCUGUGAACAUCAAGUGUAGGACCAGUCAGGAUGUUUAUGGCUCUAACCGUUUACACUGGUACCAACAGAAAGAUGGAGGAGUUCCUAAACUGCUCAUUCGCUCUGCUAGCACUCAACAAUCAGGGAUUCCAGCUCGUUUUACAGGCAGUGGAUCAAACUCUGACUUCACUCUGACCAUCAGUGGAGUCCAGGCUGAAGAUGCAGCAGUUUAUUACUGUAAGAGUUAUCACUACACCAACAGUCAAGGUGUGUUCACACAGUGAAAAACAGUCGUACAAAAACCUCCCUCAGUCAGACUGAACAGAAAUACUGCAGAGACUGAUACAGUUCACUGAGGACACACACACACACACACACACACACACACACACACACACAGAUAUACAUUGAGUGUAUUGCUGCAAAUUAAGAAACCAGUAAAUACUCCGAACACACUGAAACCAUCAGUAGAUGCAAGCAUUUGAAUCCAGCCUUUGUUUCCUAUUUCCC